AUUGAACGCUGGCGGCAGGCCUAACACAUGCAAGUCGAGCGGGAACUUCGGUUCUAGCGGCGGACGGGUGAGUAGUGCGUAGGAAGCUACCCGACAGAGGGGGAUACCAGUUGGAAACGACUGUUAAUACCGCAUAAUGUCUACGGACCAAAGUGUGGGACCUUCGGACCACAUGCUGUCGGAUGCGCCUACGUGGGAUUAGCUAGUUGGUGAGGUAAUGGCUCACCAAGGCGACGAUCCCUAGCUGGUUUGAGAGGAUGAUCAGCCACACUGGAACUGAGACACGGUCCAGACUCCUACGGGAGGCAGCAGUGGGGAAUAUUGGACAAUGGGCGCAAGCCUGAUCCAGCCAUGCCGCGUGUGUGAAGAAGGCCUUCGGGUUGUAAAGCACUUUCAGUAGGGAGGAAGGAGUUGUCGUUAAUAGCUGCAACUUUUGACGUUACCUACAGAAGAAGCACCGGCUAACUCUGUGCCAGCAGCCGCAGUAACAC
rnacentral:rRNA from 1 species